GGAAAAAAAACAUAAAAUAAAAUUUACAACAAUUUGUUCAGCUUGGAUUCAAAUUCAAAAACAGCAUUGUCCAUUAAAGAAUGCUGAUUGGAAAAUCCAAUUCAAAAGUGUUAUGUGGCUUCAAUUUUGGGUGUGUAUUUCAUAGGUCUAAAUUAUGACUCAAUUAAAAAGCUCAAAAUAGCCACCUAAAUGAAAUGUUCUGUAAGUUCUGUACUGAUAGUGGAGAAUCUAAGUUUUUGACCACAAACAUCUUAACAAGUUAAGAGUGAAAAGAGAAUUCUAUUUUGAGCAUAAAUUUGAAUCCAAGCCAAUUGUAUAACGAGAUGUACAUCUCUUUGUUGCGGUUGCUCUGGAAGCAGGUCACUAGUAAUUUGAUCACAGUAUGCCUGUCAACUAGAUAAUCAGAAUUCAUAGACAUCCUACAAAGCCUGGUCAGGUUGAGAUCA
rnacentral:misc_RNA from 1 species